rnacentral:lncRNA from 1 species
CUUCUUUGAUUUUUUUUUUGUUUGUUUUAGUAGGCAGGCUCUAUUCUGGACUCAAGACUGAAGAAGUGCAAAGCAGCAGUCAGCUAGAAUACAAGAGUGAUGAGAUGGGGAAAAGUCCUUGCCUUUCAUUGGGUGACUGAGGAUGAGAACUCUGGUAGCAAAUGACUUGCCUCAAAGUACUUAAUUUUGGCCAAAAGUAGCAGGAUAUUUGAUCCCAGAAAUGGCUGAGGGUUCACAAAAUAUAUAUUGCUUGGUCUUGAAAAAGUGGUGAGAGCUGCUAUGUGGCUUAUAGGCAGAGAUGGAAAGAAUCCAGUUCUGGGUGGACAUCAUCUCAUGGUUUGAGGUGUGUUGGCAAAUGCCCAGUUUGGGAAAAGGCUCCCAUAAAGAUAGAACUGCAUGUCUACAGAAUGGCCCUUGGAAGGUAUGGCAGUAGCAGAAGUAUGCCACUCAGACCUCUUUUGAGAGGACCUGCAGCAGGGAGAAUAGUUGAGUGACAGUUCCCAGCUGUUGUUCCAUGGAUUGCAAGGCCACAUUCUCCAGGUUGCUUCCAACCAAUGCUGGGUGCAGCUGGCUUACUAGCACAGCCCUAUUUCUGCCCAGUGCUGGAUUUCCCUAAUGGGCAACUUUUGCUUGGAGACUCUGUAUUGGCCAGGUGAAAAUUUUCUCAGAACUGUGUUGCAGUCUGAGGCUCUUCCUACACAAUUCUUCCUUCCUUCUCUCCUUUUUCACAUGUAAGACUUGCACAUACUCCUCUUGCCUAUCCCAUUCCUUCAUCCUUCAUCCUUCAUGGCCAUUUCCCUGAUAAAUCUUUUGCACAUUUAAUUCUGUCUUGAGGGCUGCUGCUCAGAGGACCUGAACUGAUACAGUAUGGGAGUGUCAGAGGACUUUAUUCUAUGCAGAGCCUAUGUCAGUGAGUUCAAAGGGUCUUAUUUUUGUUCAUCCAUUCGUUUUUGUCAUCCCCUGACCUCUCAUAUUUGAUACUUGUCAUU